AAUCUGGGGUCGCCGACCUCCGAGUUGUAAUUUGGAGAGGCAUCUUCGGGGUGGAGCGCCGGCCCCAUGUUCCUUGGAACAGGACGUCGCAGAGGGUGAGAAUCCCGUGCCAGGCCGGCCGCCUCCGCCCCAUCGAGGGGCCUUCGACGAGUCGAGUUGUUUGGGAAUGCAGCUCCAAGUGGGUGGUAAAUUUCAUCUAAAGCUAAAUACCGGCGGGAGACCGAUAGCGCACAAGUAGAGUGAUCGAAAGAUGAAAAGCACUUUGAAAAUAGAGUCAAAAAGUACGUGAAAUUGUUGAAAGGGAAGCGCUUGAGACCAGACCCAGACCCGGGCAAACACCGCGCCCCUCGGGGCCGUGCAAUUGCCCGUGGCUGGGCCAGCAUCAGUCGGCCCGGCGGGACAAAUGCGAGGGGAAUGUGUCUCCCCUCGGGGAGUGUUUAUUAGCCCCUCGCCCAAUGCCGCCCGAGCCGACUGUGGACCGCGCCUCGGCUAGGAUGCUGGCUUAAUGGCCUUCAGCGACCCGUCUUGAAACACGGACCAAGGAGUCUAACAUCUAUGCGAGUGUUUGGGCUUCAAACCCUUGCGCGGAAUGAAAGUGAGCGGAGGUGGGAACCCCCCAGCGGGGCGCACCAUCGACCGAUCCUGAUGUCCUCGGAUGGAUUUGAGUA
rnacentral:rRNA from 1 species